GAUGUGGGAGUGUCAUAUAUCAAUCUGUUGAUUUCAUUGGUUAAAUUAUAAUAAACCAACUGCUUGGCCUCAGCUUAGAACAUAGAUGGGAGGAGUAAACAGAAUAGAAUUCUGGGCGGAAGAGGAAGUGAGGUCAGACUCUGCUCUGCUCCUGGAGAGACCCGACAGCUCUGCUGGAGCAGAGACGCCAUGCUCAGCUCUCCCGGGUAGACGCGAUAGCUCUGCUCUCUGAGGCACACGCAAUGAAGAUGGACAUAGGCUAGAAUCUUCCUGCAAAUUUGCUGCCCAAAGACAAAGGCCAGGAAAGCAGAAGCAUGAGCUGCUUCCCAGACCCAGCAAUGGUCAGACGGCAUAAAGCUGUGUUACCUGCACGACAACUGAUGUCCACCACAAACCUCUUCAGCCUAAGACACAGAAAGCUGCACAGACAGGCAGCUUCGUCUUCACGGCCGUGAGGUUGCUGAGGACAACGCACACGGAAUACUAAACGCACCCCAGAGAAGUCCCACUACUGCCACCUGCUUACUGCUCUGCCGUCUGCGGUGAUUUCUCUCCAGGGCAAGGCUGUGUGUGUGUCUGUUACCAAGCAUACACAUACAAGACAGAAUUCAGAGAGUGCGGCUCCGCGGGGGGGGGGGAACAGGAGUCAUGGGCAAAUCAUUUUCACAGGGAUGGGAAACUCUCUAGCUGGAAAAUAUGGCUUUGCGACCUCCCCGGGAGGAAAGAACGGGCUGAAAUUUCGCUGGGGCUGCAGCUUGUAUUUUGAGAAAAAGAAAUGCUUAUUUUGAGACGCUCGUUGGGUUCAGCGUCACCAGGGCUUGGCGGAACCAGUUUUGUCCUAGGUUUGAAAUGUCAUCUUUGGGUCCCAGACCUCCUCCUGCCUCUUGAAGUCACCCUAGACCUCAUCAAACAAUAAAAAUAAAAACCGGUAGUAUUAGUACAUGUGUGAAAAAAAAAAAAAACACAAAAA